rnacentral:rRNA from 1 species
GAUGAACGCUGGCGGCGUGCCUAAUACAUGCAAGUCGAGCGAACAGACGAGGAGCUUGCUCCUCUGACGUUAGCGGCGGACGGGUGAGUAACACGUGGAUAACCUACCUAUAAGACUGGGAUAACUUCGGGAAACCGGAGCUAAUACCGGAUAAUAUAUUGAACCGCAUGGUUCAAUAGUGAAAGACGGUUUUGCUGUCACUUAUAGAUGGAUCCGCGCCGCAUUAGCUAGUUGGUAAGGUAACGGCUUACCAAGGCAACGAUGCGUAGCCGACCUGAGAGGGUGAUCGGCCACACUGGAACUGAGACACGGUCCAGACUCCUACGGGAGGCAGCAGUAGGGAAUCUUCCGCGAUGGGCGAAAGCUUGACGGAGCAACGCCGCGUGAGUGAUGAAGGUCUUCGGAUCGUAAAGCUCUGUUAUUAGGGAAGAACAAAUGUGUAAGUAACUAUGCACGUCUUGACGGUACCUAAUCAGAAAGCCACGGCUAACUACGUG